AAUAAAUCAAUCUUUCACUUUUUACGUAUAAUAUUUGACUCUUCGACUUAUUUGAAAAACUUUUAUGAUUAAUAUUUUUAUUUUUAUUAGAUAAUAAAUCGUGAAUAGUAUUUUACAUGUAACUAAUUUUUUAUUUUUUAAAAAUUUUUUAAAUAAGACGAAUGAUCAAACGCUGGACACGAAAACC
rnacentral:pre_miRNA from 1 species